GGCCUCCCUGGUGUGGCAUACAACCAGAUCGAGCGGUUGAGGAAGAAGACAAUAGGAUAGCCCUCCCAGAUCUAGCCGAGCGGACCGACUGGCGCCGUGCCGACGAGGCGACGACGACGAAGGCGCGUGCGUACAUGGGUUUGAUCUCUCUCUCUUCGUUUCCGCCUCCCUCUCUCUCUCUCUCUGCGUGUCGAACGUCUGCUGUGUCCGAUGGGAUAGGUCGGGGGCUGCGGUGGAGGGUUGAUGAUGGUGCGAAUGGCUGACAGAAGAGAGUGAGCACACAGCGGCAGACUACGUCUGGUAAAGAGGACGGAUGGAUGCGAGGAGAGAUAUAGACGCAGCUGCUGUUGCGUGCUCACCCUCUCUCUGUCAGCUCUCUCUCCCCCUUGGGACUUGUUCCGCCAUCAAUCUAUCCAUCCAUCUCCCCUUGCCGUUCCCAUCGCUUCGCAGCCAUCUUUGCCUGCAUCGACUGCCGAGAGAGGAGGCAGGACGAGGCUUUGUCUUGCUUGCUGUGUCCCCACCUGAACCCUAUCUUGUCCGGAUUCCGACGGCCUAGCUAGCCUAGUCCCCUGCUCUUUGGAAUAAGGUACGCUGUGCGCAUGCACGCCAUGGAUUCUUGCGCCGGCAGCCACCAAUUCCUAUUCCUUUAAAUUUCCCCUCUUUGGGGAGUCUCUCUCUCCUAGCCGUCUUUGCUUCUUCCAGGAUUAGCUAUCUUCUUGGGGGGAGGGGGACGCGUGUUGAUUCGAUUAACGCAGGUGGUGUUAUUUUGCUCGAGUCCCCAGGAGUGCUUAACGGAAAGCACUGUUUGACCAGUCCUUGCCAUGCCCUUCUCCCUCCUCCUCCUCCUCAUCUUCUUCCUCCUGUACUCCACCCCCUCUCUCUUUGUUGCUGCUUUAACUUUUUUGGAUCACGAAACUUCCAUGGUUUUUCUCCCCCUUUUGCUUCCUCAUCUCAUGUGCUGCUGUGAGAGGCAGGCAGGAAGGAGGCAGCUAUGGUGGCGGUGGCGGCAGAUCUGCAAUACCUGGCUGCAAGUGGAAAGCUGGCACGUAGCCGAUGGCGACGGCGGCUCCCAGAUCUGUGGGAACGUUCGAACAACAGAUGCAUGCUGCCUUCUAGGAGAUGAAGUGGCUGCAUGACGGCACACUUUCGUUUGCUACUUUCAGGGAAAAGUUGGAGCAGAACAGAAAUAAUUUACCCCCUACAACCAAGUGAUGUAUUUAAAAGGAGAAAGCUGUGCCGCCAAGCCUCAGAAACUUAUGCUGAAGAUGUAUUUCCCAUUUGGUGAAUCCAUGGUGCCACUUCUAUUUAUCUAUCAUCAAUUCCAGUUAGCCCUUUCUGGUGUUCGCGAUUUCUGGCUUCAACAGGAAAUAUGGCAUAAACGGCAUGAUCUUUUCUUCCGUGCAAUUCAGGAGACCGUUGCUAGUGUUAUGGGAAGCACCAUCCUUUUUCUCAUGUUCGUCAUCCCUUAAAAGCAUUGUAGUUUCCUCGUCAGAUUUUGUGCUCCAAUAUCUGCUGAUAUAUCCUCCAUCUCAACGAUGAAGUAUGCAGUUUAUCGUGAACAUCAUCUAUGUCUGGUUUGGUAAGCUGGCUUAAAGUCUGCUGUUUACUUUUGAGACUGGACUCACGAUCUCUGUAACAGAUUGUCUUUCUGUACAAAAUAAAAAUUCACUGUAAAUUUUAAGCUGCUUCUA